AAUUAAAAAAGAAGAAAAUAAUUUAUUGUUAUAUGCACUUGCCCAUUGGUAUUUAAGCAGCAAAGCCUGACCGGAAGUCCAUUUUUCUCUUUCCGUUUCAUACUCGACAAAAUCUGCGUUAGGUGACGAUGAAUUUCUGAAGAUCUGAUUGCUCUAACAAUCUGAAUUUGUGGAUCAUCUUCCUCCGAUCGCGUGGAUCUAUGAUUGGAGCUAUGUUCAAUUUUGCAAUUUUCUAAAGAAUUCUGAAGGUUUGAUUUUGUGCACUGCUGCUUAUUUGUUUUGAUGAGAUCUGGAUUCCGAAAAGAUUUCAACAUGUCAGUGCAUAACAAGCAGAUGUUAUGCAUUUAAUUUUCUCGCAUUAGCAUAGUUUAAUCAAUCAGGCUUGUUGAAAAUUGGUGAUGAAAUCCUUGACAAACCACCAUUUGACAUAGUGGUGCACAGACGUUACUUUGUCAAAAAGGAAGAACAUAAGUUGAUAACCAUCAUUGUACCUCUAUGAUUUUGUGGGUUGGAAAGAGUAUAUUAGGGAAAAGCCCAUUUGACGAUGAAAGUGACCAAAGAUAUUCGGUUUUUUUUUCUAAACUCUUUAGCCUGUACACAAAUACAGCGGGCCUUUCCUAAAUCCAUGUGAAUUCCUCUUCAUAGGUUUUCAUUUCACCAGGGUCGUGAAAUGAGUUGGCUUCCAAAAUUCAAUAAGAUUGAGGUUAUCAAAAGAAAGGGAGUCUCACCAAUUCGUUUACCCUGGUUAUGAAUAUGUGAUUCACCUCUGAAAAUUAAUGACAAAAGUUUGGUUUGUUUAUCUGCAGCUGAAAAAAUCAAUAUCAAUUGGAUCCAUUGAUAUGUGUUUUUUAUUUUAUCUGUCUUAGUCUAAAAGUGUGAAAUAAUGCAAGAGAAUUUUAUGAAAAAUACGAAAUGAGUGUAGUCAAGUCAUUCCAGGAACCUGUAUUUAUGAUAGUAAUUUCCCCCCCAUGCUGCAUGUGGUAGAUGGAAGUUCUGAUCUCAGGAUACAAGGCGUACAAGUUGCACUCCCUGAUUUUUACAUUUUGUUCUUCUAUCAAAACUAAGGCAAUAGAAGGGAGGGCUAAAUUUGGAGUAGACUAUCAAAGAAAGAGGAAUAGCAAAAAGUUUCAAUUUUAAUGAAGAAUUGACAGAAUAGUAUUAAGAAGAAUGACUUUUUUAUAUGACUGAUUUCAUUUUCAGUUGCUACAAAAAGAUUGUAUAAACAAAGAAAGCCAACCAACAGACACUUUUGAAAAUUAAAAGAAAAGGUAGUUACUCUCUUAAUAAUACUUACAUGAAUUAAAGAGAACUAAUUUGAAGUGUCUUCUCUAAAGAUUGAAUUUUCAAGUGCCCGUUGGCUAGCUUCAAAAUUUUGAAAAGCAAAAACUAUAUCUAUAUGUAGGUUCCACCGUUCCAGUGUUCAGGAAAGCUAGCACUUGCAAGCCUUCUACGCUUCACAGAUUAGAAUGAGUAUGUGAGCGCUUCAUUGCUUAAAGCGAGUGCUUCAUCGCCUAAAGCGUGAAGCGGGGCCUUAUCGUUUUUUUCCGCUUCACGCUUCCCUGAACACUGGUAGGUUCUCUGUAACAGCCAGAAAAUCAAUUGGCUAUAGAAAACGAAACAUUUCUUCUUUACACCAUUCUGCCAGUUUUUCUUUAAUGUUGCUAUUCCUCCUUCAAUCUACUAUAAUUUUCGAAGUCCUUCUUUCUAUUGGUUUAGUUCUUGUGAUAGAAGAAAUUUAAAAGCCCCAAUUGAUUUUCUGAGUAGACAUUGUAUUCUAGGGAUAAAUGAAAAAAAAAAUCAGUUAACCAUUUGUACCAUAUGGGGAAAUAUAGUUUCUUGAAAAGGGGGCUUACACUUAUUCCGUGUUUUUAAAUAAAAUUCUGCCAUGAUUUCACUGGUUUAAAUUAUUUUUCAAUAUCUCUACAAAAUUCCCUUGUUAAAUAAGGAGGAAAUACGAAGGUACGUGUUACCUUUUUGUGUGGCAUUUUCAGCUCCAAAA